AAGAAAAAGCACACCCAUAAACACGUGCAUAACCAACCAUUUUCAAUCAUGCAAAAAUUAGAAAGACAAUGAAUUGUCUGCCACGGCAUGGAUAGCCUUUCCUCAUUCAGCCAAGGAAAAACUUGAAAGAAAAGAUAGCAAAAGUAUAUUUAGCUUAAGUCUUUGUUGUGUGCUGAUAGAAAAUAGUAAUAAUCAGCACAAGACCGUCCAUAA
rnacentral:misc_RNA from 1 species